GGACUCUGCAAGGGGCCAACGUGCUCCAUCACAGGCCAACCAAACAGGUUCGGAUCAGUACAUGCCUUAACAGCUAAUGAAUCGAUGCACCUUUUUGUAAUUCUGAGUUCUUCAGCAUAUGGAAGAACAUCAUCACAGGUUUGGAGUGCCUUUAAAGAGUCUUUCCAGCUACGGAGAACUACCUGAUUCAGAAAAAUCUCAGUCUGUGAUAUCAGAUUCCCCUCCCCAUAUUCUUCAGUCAUAUCAAGAUGCUCUGCGGCACAGCGAAGGUAUACAGCAUUACCUGCUGUAAGCUCUAGUUUAACCCCAUAACAAAAUUUUGCUACUAGUUCAAAUGUUUUAGCACCACCAGGGAUGUCAUUGAGUUCAAUAACACAGCCAUCUUCUCCUUCAGAUGCUUCUGCAAUCCG
rnacentral:misc_RNA from 1 species